rnacentral:rRNA from 1 species
CCUACGGGGGGCAGCAGUGAGGAAUAUUGGUCAAUGGACGAGAGUCUGAACCAGCCAAGUAGCGUGAAGGAUGACUGCCCUAUGGGUUGUAAACUUCUUUUAUAUGGGAAUAAAAUGUUCCACGUGUGGGAUUUUGUAUGUACCAUAUGAAUAAGGAUCGGCUAACUCCGUGCCAGCAGCCGCGGUAAUACGAAGGAUCCGAGCGUUAUCCGGAUUUAUUGGGUUUAAAGGGAGCGUAGGUGGAUUGUUAAGUCAGUUGUGAAAGUUUGCGGCUCAACCGUAAAAUUGCAGUUGAAACUGGCAGUCUUGAGUACAGUAGAGGUGGGCGGAAUUCGUGGUGUAGCGGUGAAAUGCUUAGAUAUCACGAAGAACUCCGAUUGCGAAGGCAGUUCACUGGACUGCAACUGACACUGAGGCUCGAAAGUGUGGGUAUCAAACAGGAUUAGAUACCCGAGUAGUC